CUGGAUGGGAGCAGCUGCAGCGGGAGCCCAGCACUCCGGCUGUCGCCGUCGCGUCGUACCCACCCUGCCCGUGACCUCUCCUCUCCUAGUGCGCCCGGACCGGCCUGUUCGGCACUCCUGCCGCGUCCUCCGCGUGGCUGCGAGGAAUUGAGCUGACUUGCUGAAGGAAUGUUUCACAUUGGCCAAGAUCAUUGACUUUGGGCAGUUGACCCAUACUCUAGGAGACAAGAGACUUGACAUUUGAAGAGUUCUGAAGUCAAAGAUAAACAAUGGCAGGCCGAUCCUCGCUUUUUAAAGUCAUUCUCCUUGGAGACGGCGGCGUUGGGAAAAGCUCACUCAUGAACAGAUAUGUCACCAAUAAGUUCGAUAUUCAGCUCUUCCACACAAUAGGUGUGGAGUUUUUAAAUAAAGAUCUGGAGGUGGA